CGCGCAUGUGCGGACGGCUGGCUGCAGGUGGCCGGGCUGGCUGUAACCCGCCGCUGGACUGGCGCUUUUGUGUCAGGAGGGUUCGGCCUGGCAGCCGUCGCCUGUAAGCUACGAGGAGGAGCUUUACGACUUGGCCGGGAGCAGCAAAGGCCAGACUCUGCGCGAACAGACGCUACGCGCCAACCGGCCGGCACCUGGCGGGCACCAUCGCACGGUGGCGCAGAAGCUCCUCAAUGGCCAGCGCCAGCUGCAGCAGCGGCCGCGCACUAGCCUCACCUGAGCUUGGGCGAAUGUGGAUUGGGAAAGUCGACAUUAAUCAACUCAUUAUUCCUCAUAGAUUUGUAUUCUGCAGAGUAUCCAGGUCCUUCUCACAGAAUUAAAAAGACUGUACAGAGAUACAGGGAGUCCACGGAGCCUCCCCUGCAAGCAUCAGUACAGAAGUCGACAAUCUGGAUGCAAGCCCAGACUGUUUCCAAGAUUGGAUGAAGAGAAUCAAUUGACAAUGCUGUGAAGACAGGGAUUUGGAGCGUGUUGGGGGAGGUAGUGUUGACUUCCUUGUGCAAUCUAGGAUUCAGUGGGGGAUGCAGUUGGAAGGGAAGAGAAGUAAGACUCCUCCAUCUUCCUGGUCCAGAGAAAUUAUGCUGGAGCCCCCUACCCUUAAUGAGAAAGGAGGUGUUUUUGUUUCCACCAUCUUUGAGGUCUGAUUGCUAAUGUAGCUACCUUUAAAUAAUUCUGCAAUUUACAAUAAAAGUGAGAUCUCCCUCCUCCAUCCUGUGUUACACAGCCUGGGAUUGCAUCCUUUUUCCUGGCACCUUUCCAUUGCGGGAGCCUGCCUUUGACUUUCUUUCCUCUCCACACAUCUUCUAUUCAUGCUGCUUCUCUUUUCAGAUAGUGCUGAGCUCCUAGGCGAGUGUCCUUCCCAACGGAUGAAUAUUCAGCAGAGAAUGGAGAGCUUUCUACCGUAAGAAUCAGGAUGUGGCUGUUUAUAAAGUUAUUGCAUUAUUUGAAGAGUGGCUGCAAUUAGUUUUGGUGUUAGGCAGCAAAAACCCCAAAAUGUUCUUUUUUAUUUCACGUUGCUUGCAUAAUACAGAUACCCAUUUACUAGAAGAAAUCUUCAUGGGUAAGUGUAUGAGUGUGUAUGCAUAAGAAUGUGUGUGUGUGUGUGUGUGUGUGUGACUCCACAUAUAUUUCUAGAGUGCCUUCUAUGUGCCAGACAUGGUGUUGGUUGACAUAUGUAAUUGAGAAUAAAACAGUCAUGAUUUCUGCUCUUAAUCAAUUUACAAUCUAGGAUAAAAUAGACCUUCCAUGUUCAAAUCCACAAUGACAUUAAUUGCAAUAUGAUCAUUGUUGUGUUUGAAGAAUAGCUAAGAAAAACACAAAGAACUUACAAGAUGGCUUAACAGAAGAACUUCAUCUAGCUUAGAAGUCUGGAUAGCCCCUUUCUAAGAAAGUGCUAUGAGUAAGGAUGAAUAGGAAUAGGCCAGAUAAAAUACGAAGCCAGGAGUGGGAGGUAGACAUGGGGGAGGGAGGUGACAUUGUACUGAUGGAGAGAUGUGGAGAGCUGAGGAGGCUGAUGAAUGUAGAGAAAGUUGAAGUGUCACUGGAUUGCAGUUCUUGAUAGGUAGAAGUGUUGUAUGAGGGGACGAAAACAAGGCCAUUGGAAAGGGAAGUUGAAGGUGGUGGUGGUGUUUGUGAAGGUAUUUAUAUUAUUGCAGAAUUAUCUGAAGUGCAGUUUCCAAUGUUGACAAAAUUCAUGGUGUGACUGUGGAAGUUGGUGCUUGAGGUGAAUUAUGACAACUAUCAGUGGGUAUCAGGGUAAGGAACUGCUGGGCAGUGUGUUGAUGGUGCAUCUAAGUGGUGUUAAAUCUGCUUAGCACGAUGGUAGGGUUGGGUGAAAAGGAGACUUUGAGUUGGGUGCUAAAUUCUUUAAGGAAUGAUCAAAUGAUUAAGUGAGGACUAGAGGGAGAAGAGGCUCUUAUUGUCAACACUCAAAGGAGCAGCUUACAAAAGAGAGUGCAGUCAUUUGUCUGCAAGUGGCAUUGGGUAGUCAGGAGGACAAUGCCUUGGUUCUGAUACUGGGAUAUUUGGAGUUUGAUGGAAAACAUCUCCCAGCCCCCACUUGAGAGGAGAAGCAGUAUCCUUAGGGGACAGUGGGUUUCAGUGAAGUCGAGAAACUGUGUUGGGUGUGUGCGUGUGUGCGUGUGUGUGUGUGUAUGUGUGUGUCAUAACUUUGAGAUAAUGAUGGGUUAGAAACAUGUAGAUUAAGGUAAGAAGAGACUACCCUCAGGCAUUAAUCCAAACUUUGAAUUUCUUCUAGAAACCUUCUCUCAAGUCACAGUCAAGUGAUCCAGCAAUUGCAAAAUCACUCUCUUCUAAUGUGUACCAUUUCACUUGGUAGCUCUUUCUGUUGAAUAAAUGAUACUGUAUAUAAUAGGCAGUCAAAUAUUCUAGUAUUUUCUAUGCAAAUGUGUAGAAAAAAGUGUUUGGGGGUAUGAAGUCAGGGUAGGUAGGCUGAAAGAUUAUUUUAUUUAUUAUUUAUAUUUGUUCCUGUAGUGCUCAUGUGAUUUAAAAUAUAAAAAUUAGACAUUUACGUUGGAAAAGUGCAUCAAAACUUGAAAAAUUAAUUUUCAAACAUUUUAUGCUACUGUUGGAGUUAUGAAUGUAACUUGUCUGAAGAAGCUUCCUGAUCAUUGUGCUUCAUUUUCUUCUUAUUUGGACUGUAUAGAUUGUACAGUUUUUAUUUGACAGAUGAACAUUAGCACUGAAGAAGCAAAUUGAAUAAAAUACAGACAUUUAAGUUAAUUUAAAAUGUAAGUUUUAUUUUAUUUUUGGAUGGAGUCUUGACUGCAUCCUGAAAAUAUAGCUGAUGUUUUUAUUAUCUUAGCGUAAGCUGUGUAGUCAAAAGAAUAGUGGGAAUAAUCACUGUGUGUGGAUAUUGUUGUUUCCGAGGUAUAUUCUGUCCUAGCCAACUACUAACCAAAGGAUCUUUCAGAAAUGUUCUCCCAAACCACUGCCCAUUGGAUAGCAAAUGCAGUAUCUAUUUUAGAGGAAAUUAUUGCAUCAGAUUAAAAUGGUUAAAUUGUCUUAACAUGCCAGGAUCUUAUCUUUUCAUGAAAACAUUUUUUAUUAACUUUUUUUAAAGGAGGACAACUGCUCUUCAGAUGUUUCCCAUGAGAACUGGAGAUUAAACUUUGAUUUUUCUCCUUUUAUCCUCCCUGACAGAAGCUGUAUAUUUUGAGGAUAACCACUUGGUUAAAAGCAAAAUAGCCUUAAAUAAACACACAUACCUUAAAAUGAAUGAGCAUUUCUGGUGUAGUCUUAGAUUUCACAGUGUCAAACUAACUGGGUUGAGAAAGCCACCAGAAUUUCAUAGCUCAAAGUUCAGGUUUUAUACAGGAUUUAUGUGUCAUGUAGAAUAUUUUGUUUGCUGCAGUUUGAAAUGAUAGUAUCUUCUUCUCUAGGAAACUGAUGUUUAACCGAUAAGUGCAACCAGAUUGCUAACACGAGCUGCAGGAAAAAAUUUCACCAUUUUGAAUGGGGUUUGUCUUUACCACACAAAAUGUAUGCCUGUAUUAUCGAUUAUGUGAAAAUAUCUAUAAUUGUUAGAAAGAUAAAGCACACGUUUGCCAGGAAAAAUCCAUUUUUUCCAUAUCUCUCUUUGUGUACUGUGGUUUUACAAUUUCCUUUUCAUUUUUAAUGGUGUUUUCUGUUUAAAAAAGCUUAUUUGAAAAAAUUAAACAAAAAUUGUAUACAUUUAUUGUGUACAAUGUAAUAUUUUAAAAUAUGCAUAUAUUUGGAAUGGCUAAAUGUAGCUAAUUUUCAUAUGCAUAAUUAUGAUUUUUGUGGUGAGGACACUUAAAGUCUACUCUCUUAGAAAUUUUCCAGAAUACAAUACUGUACAUUGUUAUUAAUUGUAGUCACCAUAUUGCACAAUAGAACUCUUGGACUUACUACUCCUGUCCAGGUGAAAUUUUGUAUACUUUGACAAACAUGUCUCCAACCUCCACCUCUCUCCCCACCAGUUCCUUGUAACCACCAUUCUACUUUCUGCUUCUGUGAGUUCAACUUCGUUAGAUUCCACAUGUGAUAUUUGUCUUUCUGUGCCUGGCUUAUUUCACUUAACAUAAUGUCCUCCAGGUUCACCCAUGUUUCACAAAUGACAGAGUUUCUUUUUUAAGGCUGAAUAGUAUUCCACUGUGCAUAUAUAUCACAUUUCCUUUAUCCAUCCCUCCAUUGUUGGACAUUUAGGCUGAUUCCAUCUUUUGGCUAUUAUGAAUAAUGCUGCAAUGAACAUGGGAGUGCAGAUAUCUCUUUGACACAUGGAUUUCAUUUCCAUUGGAUAUAUGCGGUAUGCUCAGAGAUGAGAUUGGUGGAUAAUAUGGUAGCUCUUUCCAAAUUUUUUGAAGAAUCUCCAUAUGGGUUUCCAUAACGGAUGUACCAAUUUACAUUCCCAUGUGCAUUAUUUUCUGACAUCGAUAAAGCAGUAGAUCUAUUCAUUUCACAAAACUUUAUUGUAUGCUUACUAUGCAUCAGCAUAAUGGGAGGUGCAUUUGAUACAAAUAAAAGGCACAGUCUUGUUCAGAAGCAGAUAUGAUAACUAUUUAUUAAACAAAGACGGCAGAAGUGGGCAACUGACCACAUGUGAGAAAAGUAACAAGGAGAGUGGAAUCUAGGAUGAUGUAUAUUUUGGCUUGGGCUAUUAAGCUGAUGGGGAAUAUAUAUUUUUUGAAGUGGAAUAUACUGUCACCUUAUUUCUAAGUAGGGUCAAGUUGGAAGCCAAAUAAAACUUUCCAACAUUGGUUCUUCUAGCACGUUAAUAAAAUGUACUUUGUGAUUAUGAGCAGCCGGUUUGAAGAUUGAUUCAUUUCUACUCCUGUUACCUUGAUAAAUAAGAAAUAAAUUUCAUGGACAAGAACUCAUCAUUUGAAAUAGAUGGUAACAGUUGGAUUGUCAUUGAUUACGUGAGGUGAUUUACAGGGAGGUCCAGCACAUGCAUGUAGUGUGCUAAUACUUGCCACGUCUGUUUUCUGUUAAUUAAUACAAAUGUUGUUGUGUAGUUUUUGGUAUUCUGACUCAAAUUGAGAAAAUGUAUACACUUUUAUAUACACAUAUUAAUGUAAAACUUGGACCUGGAAAAGCAGAGAUUUCUAAUAAGUUAGCCAACAUUUUCUUUGAAGAAUUCAAGGUACCCUGAAGUACUUUCUCUAAUGAUUGAAUUGUUAUUGUUGGAGGUCAAUUCUCCACAGACUUUUUGUAUUUCUGCAUCUCUUGUGAGUGAGCAACUAACUGUCCUUCAUUCUGAACUAUCUUUUCAGGGAUAUUUGUGUGGUGAACAGUCUUGGAACAUAGAGCCAGUGUCUCUCUCUGGAGCAAAGGCCAGGCAUGCUCAUUGCCCAUUAUGAAGCAUUCAGAUUCCCUAAAUUAAACAUUCCUCUUCUAUAGCACAAUCACUGAACAUGUAGAUACCAUCUGGUUCUCUUUGUAUCACUUUACAAAAAUGGAGUCCUGGUUAACUGGUACAAAAAAUGCUAAUACUUUUGCUACUGCUAUUGUCAUGAGUACUAAACUAUUCUUUGUCUGUGACCCAGGAGUCUUGUGUCUUCUACCAGCAUUCAUGAAACUUUUGUCAGGCUAACUGGUUAGUAUCAAGAAGGGUGAACUCUCAGACCCUUUGCAGUUUUUUGUUUGUUUAUUUGUUUGUUUUGUUUUGUUUUGUUUCUUGAGAUGGAGUAGUGCUCUAUUGCCCAGGCUGGAGUGAAGUGGCGUGAUCUCAGCUCACUGCAACCUUUGCCUCUUGGGUUCAAGCGAUUCUCCUGCCUCAGCCUCCCGAGUAGCUGGGACUACAGGCGUGUGCGACCACACCCGGCUAAUUUUUUGUAUUUUUAGUAGAGACGGGGUUUCACCGUGUUAGCCAGGAUGGUCUCGAUCUCCUGACCUCGUGAUCCACCCUCCUCGGCCUCCCAGAGUUCUGGGAUUACAGGCAUGAGCCAUGGCGCCAGGCCUCCUUCACAGUUUUUGAUGGUUAAUGCACUUUAGUGUCUUACCUUCCAAUCCGUAGACUCUAUUCUACCAUAAAAUAUGAAACAUCCCAACUUUUCCACAUUGAGAGGAUGGAACUCUAAGUUGCAGAUUGACAUGAUUUGGCUGUGUCCCCACCAAAAUUUCAACUUGAAUUGUAGCUUCCAGAAUUCCCAAGUGUUGUAGGAGGGACCUAGGGGGAGGUAAAUGGAUCAUGGGGACUGGUCUUUCCUGUGCUAUUCUUGUGACAGUGAAUACGUCUCACGAGAUCUGAUGAGUUUAUCAGGGUUUCCUGCUUUUGUUUCUUCCUAAUUUUUCUCUUGCUGCCACCAUGUAAGAAGUGCUUUUCAUCUCCUGCCAUGAUUCUGAGGCCUCCCCAGCCAUGUGGAACUGUUAGUCCAAUUAAGCCUCUAUUUCAUCCCAGUUUCAGAUGAAUAUGGUGCCUCACAUUUAUUACAUAUCACGAAUUUUGAAACGUCUCACUGAGAAAUAUUGGAGUGUAAGUGUACAUUUAAAGCAAUGGCUUCUGUGAAAUAUGAAUAUUUGCUAUCACUCAUAGUUCAUUUAUUUUCAGUGAAUUUAACUUUUAUCUAAGCACCAUAAAGAAGUGUUUUGCUUUCUUAUUGUAAUCAAGUUUAUUGAGGUGUUAUUUAUGUGUAAAAGAUUGCAUCCAGUGUACAGUUUUAUGAAUAUUGACAGUUUAACAUGCCUGUAAGAUCACCAUCACCAUCAAGACCCAAAACACUUCCAACACCCCCAAAGGCUUACACGUACCCUUUGACCAAACGGAUUUUGAUAAUGUGUGUAAGCCCUUGAUAUUGAGCAAUUUGUGAAUAAUUUCUACUGAGGAGUUUUUAUUAGUUUCCUAUUUUAUUUACUUUUUUAAUUAUCAGCAUUAAUAUUUUACUCUUUUCCUGGGUUAUUUGCUUUGAUUUCUGUUUUCCUUUUAAGGGUCCUCUUUUUGGUAUUUCCUUCUCUUUCAUAUCCAUUGGAGCAGAAAGACCAAAUAAUAUUUUCAUGAUCUCACAUAAAUGAGAUACAUGGAAUAAAUUUGAAAAAAACAUCAAGAUUAAGUAGCUUCAAAGGAAAAAAAAGUCAUACAAAAAAGAAGGUGGGAAUUAGUGUACUUGAGUAUGGAAAUUGAUUAAGCAGUGAAACUAUGAUGACAAUUAUUUUUGCAAUUCAGUUAUGAAUUAUGCUUAAAAUGUGUACUUUAUUCACUUUAAUUAUGAUGUUUGAUUCUAAAGUUUUUCAUUCUCUCAAUUAUUGAUACAUUUUCUAGGGAAGUCUUUCUCAAGUAUUUGUUUUCAUGUGACUUUUUAUAAUCAUGGCUCUCAAAAUCUAAGGAUGGAUUUUGAACAGCCUAUUUCUCUCAGCAGUGUAAAAUGAGUCACAUGGGUCAUAUUUGUCUUGAGUCCCUUCAAAGACUGGAAUGUGAGUAGAAAUCGCAGAGCAACUUUCCCACAGCACUAAUUGCAUGUGAAGGACAAGACACUUCCAUAUUGUAAUACCAAAUAUAAAAUAGUGCAAAAAAAAGUCUUUGGUUAGAACUGUUCCAUUUGUCAUACGCCUUCUAAUUUAUAAAACAAGAAUUUUCUCUCUUGUCUCACCCGGUUGGAGGAUCAGCUUUAUUUUUCAAAAUUUGGAUGGAAAUCAGUCUUCAGCCUGCCCUAUCUGAAAAGAGAAAAAAUGCUUGCAACUGUUUGAAACACUAUAAAUCGGAAUACUUGAAGUCAGUUAUCUAGGAUUUUUAUAUCACUCCUCUUCCAACUUCCCGCUUCUCACUGAUGAGGAUUUCUUUCUUACUUUGAGGGGAAGAAUACACAGCAACUGUGAAAAUGUAAAAUAAAAUGAAUUCAUCUGA